GCCGCCCUGACUAGGACAGCCACGUGUUACUCGAAAGGCAAAACUGCGGUAGUCGAAAACAGCCUGCUCCCAGUAUUAUGAGUGGAGCGCCAGAUUGACUAGAACUGGUUGAAAUACUUCAUUUCAGUAGUACUACUAGUAGCACAGAGUUUUCAAAUGGCUUUCCAUCUGGCCGUUCGAGCAUUUAUUUGCAGUGGUUCAGAUUUCGUCAUAAUUCACUGCACUAGUAGGAUAUAAACUAAAUGCUCAAAUGACUCAAGGCGACUCAUGAGACCAAUGAGCAAACUGGUACACGGACCUUAAAAUGGAUAUCAAGGAUAUGGAUUACCAGUAAGUGCUCAAACGGCUUGCCAUAGGUACUGUUGUUGUUCUGUUAAAAGAUGACGCCUUGGACAACAACCGUCGGACAGUGGCGGGCACCGUGCUCGUCUUGAUCGCUUGCAACACUAACAAUGAGACAGUAUUUUGACGGGAGGACUCGCCGAGUGGAUGACGACGCACACAGAACAUUUCUCUCGUCAAGUGUUUUCCUUUGCAACUACUGAACUAACACUACUGACAGGCUUCUCCACUCUCAAACACGAGGAGCGCUUGAUUUGCGGCUCACGGUGAAUGAGGACUCCCGUAGUGAAUGUUUGGCGACAACUUAUUUUUAACCUUUUUGUGGCAAUACUGAAGCAAUAUUAAUCCUCUGUGAUGACCAUGAAGAUGAUGAUGAUGAUGCACCUCAUCUGUGCGGCUUACUCUCGUCUGAUAUGUCAUCCGGAAUUGAUGACAUCAGGUGCGCAGAUGUGAUAGUGGUCUAUUUUUUUUUUUGUUGUGUUGUUUGUUUUUUUUUGCACAAAUCGGAGCGAAUGUCACGUGACUGAAAAUAACGAGACGCUUUUUUGUGACCGAAUGUAACGGAUGACACCCCGCGCGACCGCUUUUGGGACGGACAAUCAAGGGGCCGUUGGGAUGAGAGACACUUAUUUUAUUCUUUAGUUUUAGCAGCACUCAGACUGUGAUAAAUACAGUAGAAGUAUCGUUCCAACAAGUGACAUUUUAAGUGUUUGUGUGUGCGCGCGUGUGUGUGUGUGUGUGUGUAUGGUCAAAUCGAAUUGAAAAGUGAUUUUUGUUUUUUGUGUGUGUGUGGUUUCUUUUUCCAACAAAGUCAGGUGUCUUCAGUACGCCAACCGUAGCAACAAUGGCGAACUUCAAGGUCAAAUUCACCAUAAGGAUCGUUCACAUUAUUUGAAUGUCUCUCAAGAGCAAUAGACACCCAUCACCCGUGACCGAGGACUAUUUGGGGCCAAGCUGAAAAGUAACCAAAGGGAGGGGAUUUAAUCCCCAAUAUUUUUAGGACAGCCAUAAGAAAAAAAGACAGCAAGAAAAAAGUUGUCAAUUUACAAAGAGCUCAUGUUGGAAGAGUAUCAAUUUUAUGAUAGUCAUACAUUCAUGAAUAAAGUUCUCAUUUAAAAAACGGUGAAGUUACUGGAAAAAAAACCCACAUGUUGAAAUUCCACAGGAAAAGUCGAAGUAGUACAGUGAUCCUCUCACUUAUCGCGUUUAAUGGGGACCGAGACCUCCCACAAAAGAGGAAAAUCCGCAAAGUGGGUAAAACACAACACAUUAGACAGUCGUGCAAUCUCAACCACUUUUUCUGCAUACACUUUGUUGUUUGAAGCAGUUAUAGAUGAAGGGGAGAGUAAAAAAGUGUCCUUUCACCAGUGGAUCAGAAACGUCAUGCUGAAAAUGUGCACGUCUGCUACAAGCUAAGUUAGAAGGCAAACGAAGCUGUAGCAUCCAUUGACAAAAAAGAGAGAUUGCCUCACAUCUUAUGUCCCAUGUAAAUCCGCUUCAAUUCCAAGCCGCGACUCCCAGUUCCACAUAUGCAUUGGCGCUCUGCGCUGACGCUCCUUUCUUCUCAUUGUCGGUUCCACAAGUCAUCCAUCCAUCCAGCCGCAGACUGUCCCAACAGCACCGACAUUUCCGCUGAACAAAGCGGGACUGUGAAAAAUGCCGCCCAUUUUAGACCCAAAAAACACAAGCGCCCCGCUGUCCAGCAACGACAGUCAGUUGACGCCGACAUUCCUCCCAAUCAAAAUCAGUGUUGGUACACACGUGCUGCACAGAAGACAUAAAAUCCAGUAAACAUAUACAUGUAGUACUGUAUAUGUUGCUCGAUGUGACUCGCUGUUUUGCUGACUUUUGCUGCCUCUCCAUUUUGAUGAAUGCGUUUGAAAAAUCCGCGAUGCACUGAAACUGUGAAAAGUGAACCACGAAGUAGUGAGGGAUCACUGUACAUUCAGAAGUUCAGAAUGUAGUCUUGCAUUGAAAAGGUCGUAAUAUGAUGACAGAAGUCGGAAGGGAAAUAAAAUAGUAAUUUUUCUUUGUGUAAUUUUGCAAUAAUACAAUUGGCAUUAAACGGGAAGAGCCUAACGUAAUGUAACAAGUCAUAAAUUUACUGGGGAUAAAACGCUUCAUUUUUGGGGGCGGAAGUGGUAAUUUUUAAAGAACGGGUAAUAAAAUUAUGAGAAAAAAAAAUAUUCAAGAAAAGUCACAAUCUUUCUUAUUCUUAUGAAGGACGUCAUUCUCAUAGAAAGACACCUUAUUUUCUUCACUUGGAUAUUCACUUGUGAAAAUGACUAUUGGUAGGUUGUCAGCGUUCUCCUAAAACUUUCCUUGGGAAAAUCACAAAUUUUGACAUUGAAUGGUUAAAAUUACAGCUUGACUAUUCACAAAAAAUUAGGACUCUUUCUAUGAAAAUUCCAACUACUUCUAACGUUACAGUUUUCACAUGGAGUUAUUAAAUUCCGACAUUGUUGACAUUUAUACUCUUCUCGUAAAAUGACAACUAUUGUAACACUACAAUUUUGUUAGAUUCAACUUUAUCGUAUUUUGACUUCAUUGUCCUUGCACGACAAUUUUGACAUUCUCUUCAGAUUACAACUUUACCACAUGAUGACUAUUCUCAUAAAAAUUCAGACUUUUUCUUCUGAAGAUUGUGGCUAUUCUUAUAACGUUACAAUUUUAACAUCCACUUUUGAAAAAUGGCAACUUUGUCAACAUGUCACCAUUAUUCUUUUUGUUUGUUUGUGUGUGUGUGUGUUUUUAACGUUGCAAUUUUUAACAUUCACUUACUGAAAUCAUCACAUUCUGACCAUUUUCUCGAAAAAAUACUCUGUGAGGUUACAAUGUUGAUAUUCACUCAUUGACUUAGAACAGUAAUAAUGACUUUCCCCCUCAUAUUUUGGCGUUAUCUUUUGUGAAAUUACAUUUUUCAAUUGGCCCCAAUAUUCAUUGGCACUUACAAAUACUUCAUUUCCUCGACAACUAGACCCUGGUAUGUUUUUGGUUUCCUUUUUUUUCCUCCUUUUUUUUUUUAGGAAUGGACUACGAGAAUAUAAUACAAGAUGAGAUUGAGUUCAAAUUUCAUUUUCUCACCCUGAUGUUGCCUUCGGGAUGGUAAUAAUUGGUCAUGCCAGCAAUAACAACCGAUGCCGCAAUGCGUUGCGGCCGUAAGAGACCGAAAAGGGUGCGCAAAGUACUCAGUUGUUGUGUUCAUAUUGUUCUGGGACGGCUCGGGUGUACUGAACGGAGAUGUAUUACCACAGGCGGAGGACAUGAACUCACAUUUGUUUGAAAAAGUGUACAAAUGAGCGUUAACUAGAGCCACCUGGUAGCGUUUUUAUUCUGUGUGCCUUUUACUUUUUACAUUUCAAAGAUGAUGAUGAUGAGUUGUCAUGAUUAGCAUUUAUUUUGUCAUGGUUUUUCGCCCCCACCCCUACCCACACCCCACUUAAGUGAGUAGAAGCAGUUUCCACAAAGGUACAAAAGCCAAAGUCCCUCAAUACUUGCUGCCAUCUUUGUGAUUAUUAUUUUUUUUAAACAAGGUGUAUUUUUUGUUUUAACUUGUUGGCUCGGUGGCCGCACGUGUCAAAAGUAUUCUAGCAAUAUAUUUGUGUAUAGGUGAAGACAGAAGUCAUAAGGAGAGUAGUUGUUGAUACAUUACAUUCAUUUCACAUACACCACCGCCCCGCUGCUGUUGAAGCAACAACAUGAAAUAAAGACUUUUCUAUAUUUCCGCCUCAUUGUUGUCAGCCACACAUAAGCUAAUUUGCUGUUGAGAUUAAAAAAAGGUUAUGGAACAGCU